rnacentral:siRNA from 1 species
UGGUAUAAGGGUGUUUGGUUU